CAGCCCUUGACAUCCUACGACCGCUGCAGAGAUGCAGUUUCCACUUCGGUGGCGUAGAGACAGGUGCUGCAUGGCUGUCGUCAGCUCGUGUCGUGAGAUGUUGGGUUAAGUCCCGCAACGAGCGCAACCCUCGCCCUUAGUUGCCAGCAUUCAGUUGGGCACUCUAAGGGGACUGCCGGUGAUAAGCCGAGAGGAAGGUGGGGAUGACGUCAAGUCCUCAUGGCCCUUACGGGCUGGGCUACACACGUGCUACAAUGGUGGUGACAGUGGGCAGCGAGGCCGCGAGGCCGAGCUAAUCUCCAAAAGCCAUCUCAGUUCGGAUUGCACUCUGCGACUCGAGUGCAUGAAGUUGGAAUCGCUAGUAAUCGCGGAUCAGCAUGCCGCGGUGAAUACGUUCCC
rnacentral:rRNA from 1 species